UCUAUGGGGUCGCACAGAGUCGGACACCACUGAAGUGACUUAGCAGCAGCAGCAGCAGGGUGCAUGGUUUGGUGAGCAGAAUUAGAAUGAAGUGACUCUAAGAAGAUGCAAGGCCUAAAAAUAUGGACUGGAUUUUGGCCCCUGUUGUCCUCUGGGCCAGGUGCAGCUGUAUAGGACACAACCUGUGCGGCCAUGUCCAGUGGCCCCACCUCCAUCCCAUUACACACACAGGGCAUCGUGUUACUCAUAGGCAUCACACUCAUGGACACAGGUGCAGGCGCAGAUGAGAACACAUUUUUCACAAACAUAGUCACACGUGUGGCUACAGAAGUACAUGUGGAGACAAUUUGUCUCACCACAGAAGAUGCUCUCGGUGCUGUUUUCUUUAUAUUCCCCACCCUCCUCGGGGACCAGGGGUUUUGGAUGGCUUAUCAAGAGGCCUCUGUGGUCCCUGAUAUGUCUUAUAGCUCACUGGGUACCUGUCCCUUCUCAACAUAGGAACCAGGGUCUCAAUUAUUACAAGAGUGCUUCUAUAGAUAAAGUCAUAGAAAAUACGACCAUUUUCACAGCAGACCUAGGACAGGAAGCUGCUUCUGAGGGCCUGUGUGUUGGGAGUGGACCAAGCCGAGGGAGCUGGGAGUCUUAAGCUAGUAGGAAUUAGACAAGGUUGAGAGGCUAUUCCAGAAUUCUUCACAGCAGAGUUUUCAAGUGCAUGGAAUCCUAGAAAUGAUCGAGCGAUAAUGAUGAUAAUAGCAGUCGUAGAUGAGGUUUCCUGGAACCAGACUCUGAGGCAGGUUGUAGAGCCUGGAAGGUUAUUCAUGGGAGACACAUAAAGAAAGAGGUGGGGAGGCCAAUAGGGCAGCAGGGGAAGCUGACAGCAAGGCAGCUGCUGUGCCGGAGGCCCCAGUCGAUCAUCCAGGAGGCUCUCCAGUCGAGGUAAGAAGGCUGGGCCUUGUAUCCACACAUCAGCCAGUCACUGGCCGUGGACCCCCUUCGGAGGUGGUGUAACCUUGGGAGGGCAGUUUGCUGUGGUCUAAGGCAGGUUCUAAUGAGGGAUGAGCUAUGUGCUCUGGUCAGCUGGAGGACUGGUGCACUGCUCUGAAGAGGGGAUCUGGGCAGAGCUCCAUGGCGUCCAUCACCAUAGGGAUGAGAUGCCAAUAGCCAGCCUGUUGAUCACCUACACCAAGUCUCUAAACCUCCCUGCGUCUUUCCAUCCCAGUAAGGAGCACUGACAUCCAACCUCACUGUUCAGGACAGAAUCAUAGGAGUUGUCCUUGGUCUUCCGCUUCCCUCCUCACAGCCUCCCCAUCGGCAGAAGGAUUUAUUGGCUACACUCCCCACACACAUCCUGAAUCUAUUGCAUCCCCUCCUCUUCCAUCACAAUGCUUUAAGCUGUCACAUCUUCCCUGGUCAUCUGUCGUCACUUCCCAACAGAUCUUUCUGUUCCCACCCUGGUAGCCCUGCCAUCCAUUCUCCACAAUACAGCCAGAAUGAUCUCAAAAUACCACUCUCCUAAGUAAAGCUCUUCAAUUGCUUCUUAUUGAACGUAAGUCUAAACACUUUCCUGUGGGAUGCAAAAGCCCACACAGUUGGUCCCUGCCUCCUUCCCAACCUCUGUUUUCCCCUCUGAUGUAUUACUGGCAAUACAACCUCCAUACUCCAGCUGCACUGCUUUCUCUUGGUUCCUUGAACAUGUCAGGCUUGUUCUUCCCCAGAGCCUUUGCUCUGCUCUACAGCCUAGCUGUAGCAUCUGCCUGGAAUGAUCUUCCCCAGAACCUGCCAUGGCAUGGUCUUAUCAUUCAAGCCUCAGGUCAAAUGUCACCUCCUCAUUAGGCCUCCCCUGGCUGCUGCAGUGAAGUUCUUACUGGAGACAUCAGACCAGCUGAGUUUGAAGAGCAAGGCCCUCUUCUUACAGCCUGAGGGCUAUCUGCACCCAUCAAAGCUCCCUUUGUACCACAUGACCUGGCGACCUGGCAGUGGGGUGUCUCCUUUGAAGGAACAUUCUCACAUGGUCUGUCUUCAGGAUCCCAUAGCUGUGUGGGUGCAACCCAGCUAAACUGAGUGUUGAGUAGGAGGCACUCAGGUAGGUAUGUGACUUAGCCCCACUCUUCCAAGAGAGGUAGCUAGCAUGUGGAAAAGAGAAAUCCCUUCACCGCUGAAUGUUUAAUUGCACUGGAAGCUGCCCAGUUCUUUGGUCCAAUGCUGAAGGGAAAUUUGGUUACUUGAUUUACAAGCAAAGGGCACGUAGGAAUAGAGAUGAGGUUGGAAACAUUCUUAACAUGUGUGUUUUCUUCUGUCAUUAAAGGAAACAAAACAAGCUCUUGCAACGUCUGAAGGAAACCAUCAUCUAAUUUACAAGUAGUUAUUGGGUUCUGACUGUGCCUGAGACGUCAGGCUUGGGUGAGGCCCUGGGACCCCUGGGGCCCAAUAUAGUCUCUUUUGUUGUGGAGUUUAUCUCGGAGUGGGGACGGGGCAACACUUACUGAGAUGCCAUGCUCCAUCCCAACUGGGGUGGGCUUCUCAAAUGUGCAGGGCUCCUCUCAAAGUAGACAGCAGGUUGGAGACCUGAAGCCAAGAGGCUGGGAAGGCAGUGAAGCUAAAGUCCAGGGAGGGGAGCCGGUGGGCUCCAUGGGGCAAAGACCACGAGAAAAGACUUCCCCUAAGAGGUAGACUUGGAACCAGCUCCAGAAGGACCUUGGGCUCUACACAUAAUUCGCUGAAAUAAUGGGCCACUGAAUCCAGCUUCCCAGCACAAUUCUGCUUCUCUGUCUCCUCUCCUCAUCAUUUCUCUCCCCAGCUGGGGAGCACUCAGGAAUAACUUGCUGUGCCCUGGAGGCCACCCUACCUGGCUAGCAUGUUAUAGUCUCCAGCAGCCACACUCCAAGGGUGUUGGAAGCAUGUUGGCACCUUGGAACCUCUUCUUAGAAAAAGCAAACGCUUGGGGUUUGAGCCUCCUCAUGGAUUCCUUUGGAAGGGGGCAGAAACCACCGCCCAGAGGGAUGAAGGGAUGAAGUGGAAAAACAUGGGCUGGCUUCAAAGCAGAGCAGAGGGAGGCUGGGAACAGCUCUGUUUUGUGAACAAAGUCAGGCUAAAAGCACAGAGAAAGAGACAGAGUGAAGGAGCUUGAGAGCAAGGCAGGGAGGGAGUCAGCUCUUGGUAAUUUGAAGUUAAUUUUGAAUUGCCUUGAACAUCACCAUGCAGCAUCCAGUUCUGCCUUUGAUGGUCGAAAGAAACCAGCUGCUUUUAUUCCUCUUCAGGACUUGUUUUGCCCCCAGCAGUGAAGCAAAUUAGGCAAAGCAGCAGUAGAAGUUGCAGUUGGUGUAAUUUCAGAGGAAAAGGUCAGGCUAAUUGUUGGUUAGGAGCUAAGAGGUAUGAGGCAUGUUUCUCCUGCUUGCUCUGUCCUGCUUCCUAUAACGUCUCACUGGCGUCUUCAAAGACAGGCACCCACAGAGGCCUUCAUGACUCAUUGAGGCCCCUUGUCCUAACACUGGUAUGCUUGCACUCUGCUAGGCAUCUGGGGGGCCAGGAGGCGGGUGGCAUGUGGUCUGCUGGCCCGAUCAGGGUCUCCAGGAGCAGCAGAGCUUAGUGCCUGCACCAAACUGCCCUGUAAUACUGCUCUCAGUUCACAAGGUCAGCAGUGUGGAACACCAGGGGAUGGAGCCUGGUUUUCUCCUGUUGCCUCAAGUCUCAUCAUCAGCUCAGCAGUAAAAAUUAAUAUCACGGAGGCUCCCUUGAAGGAUGCACAAUGCACGCUUGUCUCUGGCAGUCGAAAAUGUACUUCUGUACCACAUUUAAGCAGCUGUCUGGGAAGCUCACCUGUGCUGUUUGGGGCCCUUGUAGAGCUGUUUCCUAUGAGCCACAGGCUGGCGGGUUGCCAGCUGCCCGUGAGAAGGACUGGGGAGGGGCUUGACCCUGUGAUGGAUAGAAGAUGGAAAAACUGUCAUCGCAAAACUGCAAGUGGUUUCUCUCUUGACAGAGGUGCAGACGCGAAUCUUUAGGGCCGACUUUUCCUUUGUGCUGAUGAAAUGAGCAGGACAGAACUUUGGGUCCAUAAAGUGCUUUUUCUCCUGCUCUUUGGGGGGAGACCUGAGAAGGACCCUGAACACAGGUGUUGUCAAUGGGAUUGUGGGAGGUGAACUUGUUGCCUAGGUCUGUGCCAGAGCUAGGGCUCUCUUUUUUCCUCUCUCCCCUUUCCUCCUUCCUUUCCUUGCUGUCCCCCCUCCCUCUCCCCUCCCCCUGGGCCACACACCGUAGUCCAGCAGUUUGACCACUGGAUGCUGCUGACCCAGAAAGCAAUUGUGUCCCCUUGGCUGCUUCCUGAGUAACGAUUAGGGUGUAAAGGGUGGGUGUUCUUCAGAUCCCUUUGGGAAAUUCAGGAUCCCGUCCCUGACCAUUCCUGGGCACGGUGUGUCUUUCUUUCCCAACAGCAGCCCCAGGGCAGCCAAAGGGGGACCUGGGGGAUUCAAACUUAAUGCCUGUUCGGCCACCUGGAUUCUAUUGUUGGAUUGCCAUGAUCUUAGAGCAUUAGCAUAGUGACCUCCUACACUGGGCCAUGGGGGCCAAAGUGAGAACCAUGACGGGUCUCUAUAUGCUUUAUGAAAAUGCUCUUGUCACUCUUGCCUCUGAACCUUCUGCACUAAAGGUACGAGUGUGAGCAGGAGAUUAUUGGGAAAGGGUGAUGGUCUCCAGGGAUAGCAUUGGAGUAUGGUUAGCAACCCAACCCCUGGGAAGGGAAUGUUUAGAUUUGUACUCAGAGGUAUGGGGGAGGGAGGGACUAAUGAGAUUAGCCUUUCAGAGCCACCCUGAAGCUUCCCUCCCAAGAGAAUGUCCUCAUGCAGCCCUCCCACCUGGCACACAUUCCGCCUUCCCUGACCAGCCAGCUCUGACCGUGAUUUGGCCCCCACUUCCCUCAGGCUCACUGAAGAGUCUACAGGCCCACGUGCAGCCUAUGCAGCCCCUAAGACAUCCUGCACUACUUGGGUCAUUGCUUUGAAUCAAGGAGAAAGCCUCUGCUUCUCUGCCAACUGCCAUGAGAGGAGGGUGAGCUGACCCAUUCGCUUGUAAGCAUGGACAGUCUUGGACACCUCCCAGUUCUCAACCGCCAUGUCUGGCCUGGACCACUUUUGAGCAUCAUGGGAGGAUGAAAGUUGGAGAGGUUGCUGCUCUAGUCCGUGGCAGGCUGUGCUGCCUGCUGUGUGUGUGCGUCACUUCCAGCACUCUCCUCUGUCCAGCACACGGAGGCAGCUCUCCAUCCAGACCAGGAAAGCUGCCUGGAGAAGUCGGGGAGGGGCUUCUGCAGCCCAACCACGUGGGUCCCUACCAUGAUGCGCCACACAGCACAGCCUCUACUCCCAUCUGCCAAGCAGGGAUGAUGGCAGGUCUUGCUUCAGAGGGAUUUGGUGGGACGCACAGGCGGGCUCAGUCCCAGGAAGCCCUGAUGAAGGUACCACUCAUUUCUGCUGUUACUGUUGCUCUCACAGAUAACAUUUAUUGCCUCGACCUCCACUCAUUCUUUGUAAAGCUUGCCUCUCUCUCUCAACAGCCUGUCUGCAAUCCGAGUUUCUUGUUUCUACACCAAAAUUGGCCAAUUUACCUGGCGCCCCUCACCACCGUCACUGAAUGUGCCUCUAAUCUAAUUAGACUAAUUUCAAUUUCCUGGAUUUAAUUACUUUUAAUUUAAUUAACGUAGAAUGCAGUACACAGGGUGAUUAAUUAGGAAACUCUACCGAGGGACUGGGAAGGUGUACUGCAGCAUGGAAGUGUUUAAAUAUUAUUGUGCUCAUGUCCACCCGUUGCGGCUUCACACCAGAGGCUGCUGCGGCCCUGGGAGGGUUGGAGCCGAGAGAGCCCAGGGAGGGGGCGAGCGGAGCUGGGAUUCUAAUGGAAGUCAGUUGGCACCAAGCAGUGCCCUGUCAUUUCAUGGCUUUCAGCGACAACUAGUGACUUUUACAAAAUCUAUUGAUCUUUAGCUACACUGGGUUUUCGUGGCUGUAUGCAGGCUUCCUCUAGUUUUGGGAGCGGUGGCUUCUCUCGUUGUGGCACAUGGGUGCUGGAGCGCAGGCUCAGUAGGUGUGGCCCCCAGCCUCAGCUGCCCUGCAGCAUGUGGAAUCUUCCCAGACCAGGGAUCAAACCUGUGUCCCCUGCAUUGGCAGGUGGAUUCUUAACCACUGGACCACCAGGGAAGUCCCAAACUGGUGACUCUUCGGGGAAGCAAAGGAAAGACAGCUGAUUCCAGUGAACUAAGUUUGAACUGAGGUAGGAAUCCUAUGAGGUGAGGACGGACUUUGUUGCUCCAGAGAACACAGGUCACUGUUUUUCAUGUACUCAAUAAAUACGCAAAUCAUAGGCUCCCUCUGAGCUCUCACACACUGCAAAUUUUUUCUGCACUCAUGUAUUGACUAUCUGGAAUAAUAUUAAUGUUAACAAAUGCAUAUGUAGUGCUACAUGCCAGGAACUCUUUUAAGUGCUUUUAUAUUGAUUAGCUCAUCAUGGUCCUGGGAAUUAAGUACCAAGCAUGUGUGCAUGCUCAGUCACUGAGUUGUGUCAGACUCUGUGACCCCACCAGGCUCCUCUGUCCGUGGAAU